AUUUUAUCGUACAUGUACCGGUACUUCAUUAUGGAUGAUAGGCAAUGCAGUAGCCUCGAUUGUCCUGAUCAUCUUUCUGACUUGUUUCCAAUAUGGGAAGAGGUGUGGGGAUGUUAGGCGAAGACAGCGCCCACGUCUUGUCUACCCUGUGAACUUCCUGAGGAAUUAUGAUCAUCGCCUUGCCUAUUUGCUCUCCU